UACGGAGGGUGCGAGCGUUAUCCGGAAUUACUGGGCGUAAAGCGUACGCAGGCGGCUUCUUAAGUCUGACGUGAAAGCUCCCGGCUUAACUGGGAGAGGUCGUUGGAGACUGGGGGGCUUGAGGCGAUGAGAGGGGUGUAGAAUUCCCGGUGUAGUGGUGGAAUGCGUAGAUAUCGGGAGGAAUACCAGUGGCGAAAGCGACACCCUGGCAUAGGCCUGACGCUCAUGUACGAAAGCGUGGGGAGCAAACGGG
rnacentral:rRNA from 1 species